rnacentral:rRNA from 1 species
AGUGAACGCUGGCGGUAGGCCUAACACAUGCAAGUCGAACGGCAGCACAGUAAGAGCUUGCUCUUACGGGUGGCGAGUGGCGGACGGGUGAGGAAUACAUCGGAAUCUACUUUUUCGUGGGGGAUAACGUAGGGAAACUUACGCUAAUACCGCAUACGACCUACGGGUGAAAGCAGGGGAUCUUCGGACCUUGCGCGAUUGAAUGAGCCAAUGUCGGAUUAGCUAGUUGGCGGGGUAAAGGCCCACCAAGGCGACGAUCCGUAGCUGGUCUGAGAGGAUGAUCAGCCACACUGGAACUGAGACACGGUCCAGACUCCUACGGGAGGCAGCAGUGGGGAAUAUUGGACAAUGGGCGCAAGCCUGAUCCAGCCAUACCGCGUGGGUGAAGAAGGCCUUCGGGUUGUAAAGCCCUUUUGUUGGGAAAGAAAAGCAGCAGGUUAAUACCCCGCUGUUCUGACGGUACCCAAAGAAUAAGCACCGGCUAACUUCGU